UUAGUCAGCCGACGUAGACCCGAAACCGGGUGACCUAUCCGUGUCCAGGCUGAAACUGCUGUAAAAAGCGGCGGAGGGCCGAACCCACAUCCGUUGAAAAGGGUGGGGAUGAGAUGCGGAUAGCGGAGAAAUUCCAAUCGAACCCGGAGAUAGCUGGUUCUCCUCGAAAUAGCUUUAGGGCUAGCCCCGUAUAAGCCUCACGGAGGUAGGGCGCUGAAUUUCCUAGGGGGCGUCAAAGCUUACCGAAGAAUAUCAAACUGCGAAUGCCGUGAAGGCGGUGUACGGGAGUCAGGCUGCCGGAGAUAAGUCGGGCAGCCGAAAGGGAAAGAGCCCAGACCCCCGGCUAAGGCCCCCAAGUGCGUGUUAAGUGGAAAAGGAUGUGGGAUUUCAAAGACAGCUAGGAUGUUGGCUCAGAAGCAGCCAUACAUUGAAAGAGUGCGUAAUAGCUCACUAGCCGAGAGGUCCCGCGCCGAAAAUGUCCGGGGCUGAAACACGCCGCCGAAGCCAGGGGAUGAGAUGAGCGAUCAUCUUGUCGGUAGAGGAGCAGUCUUAAAGGGACGAAGCUGUACCGCAAGGAGCAGUGGACUUUUAAGAAGAGAGAAUGCCGGAAUGAGUAGCGAGAGGAAGGUGAGAAUCCUUCCGGCCGAAUAUCCAAGGAUUCCGGGGUAAAGCUGAUCUGCCCCGGGUAAGUCGGGGCCUAAGGCGAGGCAGAAAUGCGUAGCCGAUGGACAACAGGUGGAGAUUCCUGUACUGCAAGGCGACAGAACUGCAGGGACGUGCCGCGCGGACGCGACCGGGAACGGAAAGCCCGGAGCAAGGCGCCAAGUUGCUGGGGAGGCAAAUCCCCCCAGGGAAAGCAAGGCGCUUACGCGGAGCGAAAUAAAGUAGCGAAGAGCGCGGGCGCGGCACCGAGAAAAGCUGCUAUGGCUCGCCAUGCACCCGUACCGUAAACCGACACAGGUGGAUGAGGAGAGGAUCCUCAGGCCGACGGAAGAAGCAUCGUCAAGGAACUCGGCAAAAUGACCCCGUAACUUCGGGAGAAGGGGUGCCGCAGCAAUGCGGCCGCAGAGAAAAGGCUCAAGCAACUGUUUAGCAAAAACACAGGUCUAUGCGAAACCGGAAGGUGAGGUAUAUGGGCUGACGCCUGCCCGGUGCCGGAAGGUCAAGAGGAGAGGUCAGCAGGACGAUUUCGUCCCAGCGAAGCCUUGAAUUCAAGCCCCGGUAAACGGCGGCCGUAACUAUAACGGUCCUAAGGUAGCGAAAUUCCUUGUCGGGUAAGUUCCGACCCGCACGAAAGGCGUAACGAUCUGGGCACUGUCUCAACAAUGGACUCGGUGAAAUUGUAGUACCGGUAAAGAUGCCGGUUACCCGCAGCAGGACGGAAAGACCCCGUGGAGCUUUACUGCAGCUUGAUAUUGAAUUUCGGCGUUGCAUGCACAGGAUAGGUGGGAGGCGAAGAAGUCGGGACUCCGGUUUCGGCAGAGCCGCCGUUGGGAUACCACUCUUGUAACGUUGAAGUUCUAACUUGGUACCGUUAACCGGUAUGAGGACAGUGUCAGGCGGGCAGUUUGACUGGGGCGGUCGCCUCCUAAAGAGUAACGGAGGCGCCCAAAGGUUCCCUCAGCGCGGUCGGAAAUCGCGCGCAGAGUGUAAAGGCAGAAGGGAGCUUGAUUGCGAGACAAACAAGUCGGGCAAGGACGAAAGUCGGGCUUAGUGAUCCGGUGGUUCCGAGUGGAAGGGCCAUCGCUCAACGGAUAAAAGCUACCCCGGGGAUAACAGGCUUAUACCCCCCAAGAGUCCACAUCGACGGGGGUGUUUGGCACCUCGAUGUCGGCUCGUCUCAUCCCGGGGCUGAAGUCGGUCCCAAGGGUUGGGCUGUUCGCCCAUUAAAGAGGUACGCGAGCUGGGUUCAGAACGUCGUGAGACAGUUCGGUCCCUAUCCGCUGUGGGCGUUGGAGAUUUGAGUGGAGCUGUCCUUAGUACGAGAGGACCGGGAUGGACGUACCGCCGGUGCAUCAGUUGUCUUGCCAAAGGCACAGCUGAGUAGCCGCGUACGGACGGGAUAAGUGCUGAAAGCAUCUAAGUACGAAGCCCCCCGCAAGAAGAGAUCUCCUCCGCAAGGUAAGACCCGUGACAGACGAUCACGUUGAUAGGCCUGAGGUGUAAGUGCAGUAAUGCAUGCAGCUGACAGGUACUAAUCGGUCGAUAGUUUAACCU
rnacentral:rRNA from 1 species